rnacentral:lncRNA from 1 species
AGUGUGUUGGCCAUAGCUAAAAAAAAAAUAUAAACCUAUUAGUAUAUGAAUUAUUUUAAUCCUAAAGAUAUGGACUUUAAUCUAAAGAUUCUCUCACUAUUUUAUACGAAUUGAUAGUCUUUACCUCCAAUUCGAAGAAUUACAUUAAUUUUUUAGUAGGUACUAGAAUCCACACAGACUGCAUUCAGGUCCGAGUGUGACUCGAUCAACUCUAGUGCAUCCAUGGAUAGGUACAUAAUCAAUUAUUUUUUCAAACAACUUUCAGCAAUUAGAUUUUACCCCAGGCAUCUCUUCAACAGGCAUGUGGUGCCUCCACUGAAAAUUUUGAUU